AACCCUUUUAGCUAACAAUAUAGAAGCAGAAGAAUGGAGCAGGAGUUAGAGAGAUCCCUCAAGCAAUAAUGGAGGCCACUGGAGAGGCAAGACUGCCAAAGGCUGAGUUAUUGACCCAGUAUUUCUAAAACUACCUUCAAAGAAGCCUGAAUGAAAGAAAAUAAUUUGUGCAUUUAGAAUAUAUUUUUCCUUUGUGUUUCUAUCUACUUCCUUCACAAGCUAUUUUUGGAGGAAACCAAGGGGAGGGGCUGCUGGCCAGUGGCCACCAGGCUCCCAGAGCUGGAAUUCAAAGCCAUGGAUGGAGAGCCAAACUCUGCGUGUGCUUCGCCUAUUAGGCUAAUUAUGCUUAAAAACUACACAAAUGGGCAAGGAUCAGCAUGAUGUCUGAAGAAAGACAGAAGGAAUUGAGAAGUGCUACAGAUGAACAGGUUCAGCCCCUACAUUUUGCAGUAGGGCUGCAAAGCAAGACAUGAGAUGAGGUAAAAUGAAUAUUAAUGUUACUGAAUACUGAUGUGGGAUCAACUCAGACACUAUAAAAAACUCAAAUACCUAAGACUUAUAGUAAAGCUUGGCUUACACCAGUUCAUUACUUUGGGAUGAUUUAACUAAAUAACCAA
rnacentral:lncRNA from 13 species